UACGUAGGUGGCAAGCGUUGUCCGGAUUUACUGGGCGUAAAGAGCGCGCAGGCGGCUGGUCAAGUCCGAUGUGAAAGCUCCCGGCUUAACUGGGAAACGGCAUCGGAAACUGAUCGGCUUGAAGGUGGGAGAGGGUAGUGGAAUUCCACGUGUAGCGGUGAAAUGCGUAGAGAUGUGGAGGAACACCAGUGGCGAAGGCGGCUUUCUGGUCUGUAACUGACGCUGAGGCGCGAAAGCGUGGGGAGCAAACAGG
rnacentral:rRNA from 1 species